rnacentral:lncRNA from 1 species
AUAAAAUAUAAAUUUUAGAGGAGGAAGAAUAAUAUUGUAUCACUGUGAAAAUUGGACUCAAAGUGUUUAUUAUAAUUUAUGUUAAUCACAAAUGUAAUUUCUGAAAAUUACACAAUGCCACUGCAAAACUUCUUACAAAUGAAAUAGAGUUCAUCUCUAAUUAUAGAUGAGAUUACUUACACACCAAGAAAUCUCUAAUUAAGUAAUAAAAAAAAGUAAAUGCU